rnacentral:rRNA from 1 species
UACGGAGGGUGCGAGCGUUGUCCGGAAUCACUGGGCGUAAAGGGCGCGUAGGCGGCGCGAGCAGUCGGCGGUGAAAGCCCGGAGCUCAACUCCGGGUCGGCCGUCGAUACUCUCGUGCUUGAGCACUGUAGAGGCAGGUGGAAUUCCGGGUGUAGCGGUGGAAUGCGUAGAGAUCCGGAAGAACACCGGUGGCGAAGGCGGCCUGCUGGGCAGUAGCUGACGCUGAUGCGCGACAGCGUGGGGAGCAAACAGG